GGAGAGGUGGCCGAGCGGCCUAAGGCGCACGCCUGGAGAGCGUGUGACCGCCACAAGCGGUCCGUGGGUUCAAAUCCCACCCUCUCCGCCA
rnacentral:tRNA from 1 species